rnacentral:rRNA from 1 species
AGAGUUUGAUCCUGGCUCAGAUUGAACGCUGGCGGCAUGCCUAACACAUGCAAGUCGAACGGAAACAGGACGCUGGGAUCUCUUCGGAGUGAACUUGUCGCUGUCGAGUGGCGGACGGGUGAGUAAUGCAUAGGAAGUUGCCUCAAAGUGGGGGAUAGCCCGGAGAAAUCCGGAUUAAUACCGCAUGUGCUCUACGGAGCAAAGCGGGCCUCUGAUUUAAGCUCGCGCUUUGAGAUAUGCCUAUGUCGGAUUAGCUAGUUGGUAGGGUAAUGGCCUACCAAGGCGACGAUCCGUAGCUGGUUUGAGAGGAUGAUCAGCCACACUGGGACUGAGAUACGGCCCAGACUCCUACGGGAGGCAGCAGUGGGGAAUAUUGGACAAUGGGCGCAAGCCUGAUCCAGCAAUGCCGCGUGUGUGAAGAAGGCCUGCGGGUUGUAAAGCACUUUUAUCGGGAAAGAAAAUCUCAGGGUUAAUAACCCUGGGCCUUGACGGUACCCGAAGAAUAAGCACCGGCUAACUCAGUGCCAGCAGCCGCGGUAAUACUGAGGGUGCAAGCGUUAAUCGGAAUUACUGGGCGUAAAGCGAGUGUAGGCGGCUGCGUAAGUCGGAUGUGAAAGCCCCGGGCUCAACCUGGGAAUUGCAUUCGAUACUGCGCGGCUUGAGUCUGAUAGAGGGAAGUGGAAUUCCAGGUGUAGCGGUGAAAUGCGUAGAUAUCU